rnacentral:rRNA from 1 species
GGUUAAGCGACUAAGCGUACACGGUGGAUGCCCUGGCAGUCAGAGGCGAUGAAGGACGUGCUAAUCUGCGAUAAGCGUCGGUGAGGUGAUAUGAACCGUUAUAACCGGCGAUUUCCGAAUGGGGAAACCCAGUGUGUUUCGACACACUAUCAUUAACUGAAUCCAUAGGUUAAUGAGGCGAACCGGGGGAACUGAAACAUCUAAGUACCCCGAGGAAAAGAAAUCAACCGAGAUUCCCCCAGUAGCGGCGAGCGAACGGGGAGGAGCCCAGAGCCUGAAUCAGUGUGUGUGUUAGUGGAAGCGUCUGGAAAGGCGUGCGAUACAGGGUGACAGCCCCGUACACAAAAAUGCACAUAUUGUGAGCUCGAUGAGUAGGGCGGGACACGUGGUAUCCUGUCUGAAUAUGGGGGGACCAUCCUCCAAGGCUAAAUACUCCUGACUGACCGAUAGUGAACCAGUACCGUGAGGGAAAGGCGAAAAGAACCCCGGCGAGGGGAGUGAAAAAGAACCUGAAACCGUGUACGUACAAGCAGUGGGAGCCUCUUAAUGGGGUGACUGCGUACCUUUUGUAUAAUGGGUCAGCGACUUAUAUUCUGUAGCAAGGUUAACCGAAUAGGGGAGCCGAAGGGAAACCGAGUCUUAACUGGGCGUUAAGUUGCAGGGUAUAGACCCGAAACCCGGUGAUCUAGCCAUGGGCAGGUUGAAGGUUGGGUAACACUAACUGGAGGACCGAACCGACUAAUGUUGAAAAAUUAGCGGAUGACUUGUGGCUGGGGGUGAAAGGCCAAUCAAACCGGGAGAUAGCUGGUUCUCCCCGAAAGCUAUUUAGGUAGCGCCUCGUGAAUUCAUCUCCGGGGGUAGAGCACUGUUUCGGCAAGGGGGUCAUCCCGACUUACCAACCCGAUGCAAACUGCGAAUACCGGAGAAUGUUAUCACGGGAGACACACGGCGGGUGCUAACGUCCGUCGUGAAGAGGGAAACAACCCAGACCGCCAGCUAAGGUCCCAAAGUCAUGGUUAAGUGGGAAACGAUGUGGGAAGGCCCAGACAGCCAGGAUGUUGGCUUAGAAGCAGCCAUCAUUUAAAGAAAGCGUAAUAGCUCACUGGUCGAGUCGGCCUGCGCGGAAGAUGUAACGGGGCUAAACCAUGCACCGAAGCUGCGGCAGCGACACUAUGUGUUGUUGGGUAGGGGAGCGUUCUGUAAGCCUGUGAAGGUGGCCUGUGAGGGUUGCUGGAGGUAUCAGAAGUGCGAAUGCUGACAUAAGUAACGAUAAAGCGGGUGAAAAGCCCGCUCGCCGGAAGACCAAGGGUUCCUGUCCAACGUUAAUCGGGGCAGGGUGAGUCGACCCCUAAGGCGAGGCCGAAAGGCGUAGUCGAUGGGAAACAGGUUAAUAUUCCUGUACUUGGUGUUACUGCGAAGGGGGGACGGAGAAGGCUAUGUUGGCCGGGCGACGGUUGUCCCGGUUUAAGCGUGUAGGC